rnacentral:tRNA from 1 species
GGAAGAGUGGCCGAGUGGUUUAAGGCUGCGGUUUUGAAAACCGCCGUACUCGAAAGGGUACCAGGGGUUCGAAUCCCUUCUCUUCCU